rnacentral:tRNA from 1 species
UCGUCGUCGGCUCGGGAGAACCCGAGGUUGACGGUCUUGGAGAUGUCACGCGACCCAAGGUUCGUCGUCAUGACGAUGAC